rfam:Schistosoma margrebowiei strain Zambia genome assembly, scaffold: SMRZ_scaffold0000649
AUCCAGCCGACGAGUCCCAUAUAGGCCGAAACGCGCUUCAAACUGGAU